GUGGGCUCACGACACUCCUAGCUCACCUUCUCACUUCCCGAACCCUAGGCAGAAACCCUAGGGUACUCAUAGAAGACCCUGCGCCCUUUCUCUCUUCUUUUUUCUUCUCUUCUUUUCUUUUCUUUUCUCACACAGAAGGCCUUUCUCAUGCCACCCUUUCUCUCUGAGAAAGUCAUGUACAUGCCCCACCUUCUCUUUCCUUUUUAAAACAGUGCAAGACCGCAUCUUUACCGUGUCUUCACCGCAUGAGAGGAUAAAGCUAGGUGGUUGCUCACUUGAAUUCAAAUCGAAUUUGAAUUCAAAUGCCAACCAACCUAUCCUUAUCCGCUCAAGGUGAGAGAAGAGAGGGGCAUGGGCUCUUUGUGCGUGGAGAGUCUACAUGAGAAAUAUU
rnacentral:lncRNA from 1 species